UCAUAAGCUUCCCAAGGAAGCUAUUGAAUUGACUUUACCUCACACCUAUCGUCCAAAGCAACACCAAAAGGUAAGAGUUGAAAAUCAAUUUCCUUUCUUCCCACUUACCCGUCGAUCUACACCCAAGGAAAAUGGAAAACUUCAUCUUCCUCUCCAAGCAAGCCAUAGCCAACCUUCACCUAUUUCCUUCCUCUUCUCUUUCCAUCUUCAGGAAAGCAAGUUCAUCUCAUCACCUUCAAGCCUUGUGACUCCAUAGCAAGGGAAGAAGAAAAAUAUUUUCUCUCAUCCUCUUCAAGCCAUACGAGUAUACUCCCUCCCUACUCAUUUUUGGGUUUUGCCGCAAACCUUGGAACUAAAAUUUGAUUUCAUCUUCUAAAUGGUGAAAUAUUGAAGUGAUACUGUGUUGCUCUUCUUCCACACGGGUUUACCACUAUUUGGCCCUCUAUCUUGCCUCUUGAAAGGGGCUAAGAGCUUAAGGAAUAUUGAUGAAUGAAAGUAUCGAGGAGCAUAGAGGUAAUGAUGAAAAGGCUGGGGAGCAAGGCAUUACUGCAGAGGGAGAGGCAUACGCUUAGGACCUUCCCUAACGAGGACAGUUAUGUUACGAAUGAUGGGUUAUGUUAUGUAUAGAUAUUUUAAUUUGGGAUGGACUCUGAGAGUCUCUUAUGGAUAAAUGUUCAAAUAGAAU